GACGAACGCUGGCGGCGUGCUUAACACAUGCAAGUCGAACGGAAAGACCCUGCUUUUGUGCGUUGCUCGAGUGGCGCACGGGUGAGUAAAACGUGAGUAACCUCCCCUUGUAUUUGUGAUAACUUCAGGAAACUGGGGCUAAUACCGCAUAGGAUCUCCUGAUGCACGGUGGGGGUUGGUGAGUUUCGGCGGUUGGGGAUGGACUCGCGGCUUAUCAGCUUGUUGGUGGGGUAGUUGCUUACCAAGCCUUUGACGGGUACCCGGCCUGAGAGGGGGACCGGCCACAAUGGGACUGAGAUACGGCCCAGACUCCUACGGGAGGCAGCAGUGGGGAAUAUUGCACAAUGGGCGGAAGUCUGAGGCAGCAACGCCGCGUGCGGGAUGACGGGCUUCGGGUUGUAAACCGAUUUCGCCUGUGACGAAGCGUGAGUGACGGUAAUGGGUAAAGAAGCACCGGCUAACUACGUG
rnacentral:rRNA from 1 species